GAUGAACGCUAGCGGCAGGCUUAAUACAUGCAAGUCGUGGGGCAGCAUGACUGUAGCAAUACAGUUGAUGGCGACCGGCAAACGGGUGUGGAACACGUACACAACCUUCCUUUAAGUGGGGAAUAGCCCGGGGAAACCCGGAUUAAUACCCCGUAAUAUAGUGAUUAGGCAUCUUUUUACUAUUAUAGCAGCAAUGCGCUUGAUGAUGGGUGUGCGCCUGAUUAGGCAGUUGGCGGGGUAACGGCCCACCAAACCUACGAUCAGUAACUGGUGUGGGAGCACGACCAGUCACACGGGCACUGAGACACGGGCCCGACUCCUACGGGAGGCAGCAGUAAGGAAUAUUGGUCAAUGGACGCAAGUCUGAACCAGCCAUGCCGCGUGGAGGAUGAAGGUCCUCUGGAUUGUAAACUUCUUUUAUCUGGGAAGAAACCCACGAAUUCUUUUGUGGUUGACGGUACCAGAUGAAUAAGCACCGGCUAACUCCGUGCCAGCCGCCGCAGUAAAAC
rnacentral:rRNA from 1 species